rnacentral:lncRNA from 1 species
ACCUGGGGAGUGUUAAACACUUCUGACGCCUGGGUCCCAGGCCCAGAGAUGCCAACUUCACUUGUCUGGGAUGUAGCCUGGCUAUCUUUUUUUCCUGAAAUCUCCCCAGGUGGUUCCCGGGUGCAGCCUAAGUUGAGAACUACUGUCCCAGAAGGCCGCCUGUUCUGAGGAAUUCUUCCAUCAUCGUUAAGCUGCUCUUUAUUAAGCUGGCUCGCCGGCAGGAGUUGACUUGGUAUCAGGUGACUUCUAAGUUAGAGCAGCCUGGUGCCGUGUUACAGCCCUGCUUCAAUUACCUUACCUGGAGUAAGUACUAUUUUUACAUCUGAUGACCCACUGUGUGCCAUCGCCUAUCUACUGGGCUGGAUGCGCGUAUACAAAGACAAUAAAGCCAGAACUUCUCUCAAGGUGUUUACAACCUGCUGUUUUUCUCCUUGAGUGAAUAUGAUCAGUGACAGGGAUCCUGAAAGGAGAGCACAAUAAAGCUCUGCAGAAGCCUCCAUCUGCCAAAAUAAGCUCUGGGAGAAGCCAGGUGCCAUGUUGUGAGGACACUGGAGCACCCCUAAGGAGGCCUGUGUUGUGGGAACUGAGGCCUCCUGCCAUCAGCCAGCACCCACUUGCCAGCCAUGUGAAUAAACUAUCUUGGAAGUGGAUCCUCCAGCCCAUUAUGUCCUCAAAUGACAGCAAAUUCAUGAACGACUGUGAGCCAGAACCACCCAGCUAAGUCACUACCAAAUUCUUGACCCACAGAAACUGAGAUAAUACAUAAUAUUUAUUAUUGUUUUAAGCUACUAGGUUUUGGGGGCAUUUUUUACCUAAUAGGCAACUAAUAUGGUAGAUGUGUUUUGUACAAUGCUUUGUUACUGAAAUGGCUCUAGAUUUGCAAGUCACUACUUC